CCACUAACCUCAAGUUUGUCAUCCAGAGGCCACUAACCUCAAGUUUGUCAUCCAGAGGUCACUAACCUCAAGUUUGUCAUCCAGAGGCCACUAACCUCAAGUUUGUCAUCCAGAGGCCACUAACCUCAAGUUUGUCAUCCAGAGGCCACUAACCUCAAGUUUGUCCUCCAUAGGCCACUGAGAAGUUAAACAUUUAGUAAUUUUUUUUCAAGCAUUUGAACAGUAGAAAUGUCAACGCAGUUUUCAAGAUUUCCAAAGAAUUGAUAGAGGAUGCUAGCCAGCGAACAAUUCUGGUUGACAAGAGUAUUUCUAGAUGGCGACACAAUCUGACCUCAUCGUCAAUCAGAUAUUUACUGAGGAGGAACUUCAGGGAUAAAUGUUAUGAAACCAAACAAGACAAAGUAAGUGAUGGUUAUGAUGAAAGAUGAAGGUAGUGUUAAUUCAACGUAAAUAUCGUUUCUUUACUCUAUAGUAUUGAAAGAUCUGGAUCGGACAGUAUUGUAUAGUUAAGUUUAGACAUGUUUCAAUAAGACAAAUUGAAUUAAAAUCUGGAAUCAUGGGAUAUUCAACACAUGAAAUGAGUAAAUGAUUAAAAUGCAGUGUGGUGAUAAUUAGAGGAGAAGGAUGGAGUAAAAAAAAAAGGUAGUUUAAAACAAACCCAGCUGGUCAAGGAGCUGGCUAGUCCUAAGUAUAUCUACCUGGAGAUGAAGUCUCGGACAUUUCCAGACUUUUCUCUUCGUCCCCUUCCUUCUUCUCGCCACUGACCGAGCUGGGUGUGAUGACAUCGUCGUAGGCGCUGUCGUCCAGCCGGUUGAACUUCUUCAACUUGUUCUUGAUGUUAGGCAGAACUUGCAAGUAAUCCUGGUCAAUGAUUCCCGCCAUGGUGACCACAGCAGGUCAAAACAUACACGCGCACACGCUAAGACACAUACAAAACGUCAAGGGCCGACACCCUCCAGGGGAAGAUCGAAAUGAAGCAUUUUGUUUGUUUCAAUUAUGGCAGUUAACCCUUGACAGGCUCUUAAAUCGUUAAGUACACACACACGAGCUAAAGAAAGUCACUUGAUCCGACAUCAAUGAGUUAGCUUUGAAUCGAAAUAGGAAAAAAAAACAAUGAUGCAUCCGAAUAGGCUUCAAUCCGUGUUAACUUAAAAACCUGACUAGCAAAACCCAACCUAAUCUAGCUAGACCGACAUUUUAAGCAGGAAAACAAAGACAUUCAAUCAUCGUCACAAUGACUUUCUCCAGCAGUGACUUGAGUAGAGAAAUUCCACACAACGUCUGUCGGCAAGGUUUAGUGAAGAUCAAGUAUGUACGAAGUGUGUGUAUAUGUUGUGUGUGUAAAUAGAUAUAUAGAUCUAUGCAGUAAAAGAAAACACACACACACACAAAACAUGUAGCAGAUGUGCUAUACUAUGGGACAGAUAUCUGCACAUCUAUCUAGUCUAGUAUGAUACCGAGUCCGGUCCAAGACAUACGUGCUACAAAUACUUGGGUGUCUCUCCGCAUGAAAACUGACGUCUGCUAGAUCUAGAUCAAGAGGCAAGUGAUAAAAGUACAGAUAAAGUGAUACAUACAUAUUGUCACUCGGAGACCCGAGUUCCUAAUAUUGUCAUUCAGCCUGAUGUCAAUAUUUAGGCUGCGCAUGUGCCAGUACAACAACGGUCGCACUUAAAAUGAACGUCUGAUGGCUAAGAGAAUUUCAAUAUUUCGUUAUUGUCAGGGCACAGCGUGUUUGUUUUUUCCAUGUGUGUGAGGAAUGUUUGGCGCCAUGGAAUCCCUUUCCCUUACUACUGAAUGUCACGGACCGCUCUAUCUGAAGCUGGCAACUGAUGUCCAAAUAGUUAGGGAGACUAACUGAGCAGCGCUGUUCUGAAAAAAACAAAAUCACAACUCUCUAGAAGACAGUCGAUCUAUUUACCUAACAUCUAGUUUUAUAGUGUUGUUAUUGUGUGUAUACGCACCCCUACUAUUUUCCUAGUUAAAAAGUUCAGGACAAUAUUGAGUGUGUGUGUGAGUGAUAGGGCAUGUAACGACGGCUGAUAUAAUGAAUUCAUAAAUAUGUAUGAUUGGAGCUCUGCCUCCUGAUGUAAGAGAAGACAAAAGACAAGAUGGGAGGUGGGGAGAUUCCCCCUCCCCCACAGCUUAUGACGUCAUCUGUAGUUUGAGAGAGGCGCGCGGUCAGACCUGGAACAUUUCCCAAGAUGUCAUCAUUGGAUCUCACUUUCGCUCUACUUUAAAGAAAAGAAAAAUAACUAGGUAGGAAUACUUUCAAACCAGAGACUUCUAAUGGUGACAUCUGACAGUUACAGGGUGUUGAUACGUGCAGGUUAGGAAGCUGCAAUAGAUUUAUGUGAACGAUUUAAAGGAACAUGGAACAAACUAUUCCGUCAAAGGAAAACAUACAAAAGUGGCAUCUCCUCCUACCAGCUGCUUUGUGAGCGUACACAGAAAGUCAUCAUUCUUUU
rnacentral:sRNA from 1 species